UACGUAGGGGGCGAGCGUUGUCCGGAAUUAUUGGGCGUAAAGAGCUCGUAGGCGGCUUGUCACGUCGAUUGUGAAAGCUCGGGGCUUAACCCCGAGUCUGCAGUCGAUACGGGCUAGCUAGAGUGUGGUAGGGGAGACCGGAAUUCCUGGUGUAGCGGUGAAAUGCGCAGAUAUCAGGAGGAACACCGGUGGCGAAGGCGGAUCUCUGGGCCAUUACUGACGCUGAGGAGCGAAAGCGUGGGGAGCGAACAGG
rnacentral:rRNA from 1 species